rnacentral:antisense_RNA from 1 species
UGAAUCAGAGCCUGCCCAUCCACACUUGGCCCAAACCCAUCCGUCCAGGCCGACUUCCUAACUCCAGCGAGGCUGGGCAGGAAAGAACGCCCCCUGAAGCUGGACAGAGGAUAGAGCCCGUGUGUGCUUCCUGUUCAAGUCUGGGCCAUGUCUCCAGCUCCUUGGGGGCCCACAAUGAAGCUGAAAAAGGGGACUUAAAGGACCCCAGCUUUGGGACAUCCUGGCAGUGCCCCCAGAAGCCACAGAAGAGAGCUUCUGGUGCACCUGUCCAGGGACCACUACCCAGGCUCCGCCCCUGCUGUUUUCCUCUGGGAAGGGAUAGGAUAGGGGGAUGAGUUGGGGAGGGAGGAGGGAC